GACGAACGCUGGCGGCGUGCUUAACACAUGCAAGUCGAACGGAAAGGCCCUGCUUUUGUGGGGUGCUCGAGUGGCGAACGGGUGAGUAACACGUGAGUAACCUGCCCUUGUCUUUGGUAUAACUUCAGGAAACUGGGGCUAAUACCGUAUAGGAGCUCCUGUUGCAUGGUGGGGGUUGGAAAGUUUCGGCGGUUGGGGAUGGACUCGCGGCUUAUCAGCUUGUUGGUGGGGUAGUGGCUUACCAAGGCUUUGACGGGUAGCCGGCAUGAGAGGGUGGACGGGGACAUUGGGACUGAGAGAGGGAGCAGAGUGGUACGGGGGGCAGCAGGGGGGAAUAUUGCACAAUGGGAGGGAGCCUGAUGAAGAAACGCCGCGUGCGGGAUGACGGCCUUCGGGUUGUAAACAGCUGUAGCCUGUGACGAAGCGGGAGUGACGGUAAUGGAUAAAGAGGCACCGGCUAACUACGUG
rnacentral:rRNA from 1 species